rnacentral:rRNA from 1 species
UGUUACUUUCGGUGUAAAGGAUGUAUAACUGCUGGGCGACUACGUCUUAACGGGUAAAAGUCGAAGUGCUUGGCGGUUCAAGAAACCGGCCCCGUGAGACUUGACGGUUAAUCUGAUGAUCCGCAUUAUUCCUUACUUAGCCUUAAUGCUGGUGUAUGGUCGUCGAUAAGUUUAGGUUGUAAGACAGGAGGCUUGACCCAACGCGUUGGACGAAGUCAGAUCGUUAUGCCGCGAUGGUUAAGGCUUAGUUGAGUCACAUUGAAUAAAUUUUCGGAAUAUUUAUAGAAAUAUAGGUAGAAAGAAGGAAUGGGAAGUAAUAAAAAAAUAGUUUGUUUUUAUGAAUGGGGAUCUUUUGAGUGUACAAAUCGCCC